GGUGGGGCUGUGCCAGUCACAUGUGCCAGGAUCUGCUUUGCAGAGCUGCUUUCCAUGGCAUGUCCUGGUGCCAGGGGCUGCACCUCCCCAGGGAGAGGAUUCUGCUUGGCCCUUGGUUGAACUUCAGGAGGUUCUGUCGCCCUGUUUCUUCAGCCUAUCAAGUUCCCUGAGUCUGCAGCAUCAUCUUCUGGUGUCUCAGCCAUUCUACAGAGAACCAGGACUAAUUUUCUUGCUGGAGAGCCCACAGAUCAGUAAAGGAGGCCAGGAGGAAUCAGUCACUGAACACCACGGGAAGAGAAGGAAUGACCCCACACACCCCAUAUCAGGGCACUGGCUGCAGAGCCAGCCCUGCUGGGUGGAUCACAUUCUUUUCCAAAGGCUGUGUGUGAAGCAGGAGCUCAAUAGUCACAUGAAAAGUGGGGAGCAGAAGGGCAUUCCUGCUACAUUUCUGCUGCAGUGCCCAGCCAAAAAGCUGUAGAAUGGGGCUGUUUGGUGCUUCAUGCUGCCACCUCCCUACUUCUCCCUGGAGAAGAAUGAACACCAGGUUUUACAGCAGGUUGCAGAAUUAAGAAGACACAGCAUUCAUUCUGCUAUUGAAAAUGUGAGUAUAAAAAUUUUGAAGGGCAGAAAAUCUGCCAGAGCUGUAAAUCCUGAUCCUGAGUUCUAGGAAAAUAUGUGAUGCCUAUACAACUUAGAUUGAAGUUACCAAGUGCUUAUAUAGCUUAAGUUUCAAGGUACCAGUAUAACUGGAUAUAUCUAUAUAACCUUAUAUCAAUAUAACCUAACACAUGAUAUUUUAAUAUAUGCAAAUAACCUGGUACCUAUGUAAUCUGAAUCAUAGCUUUUUAUACCUAUAUAACCUGAUAUAAAUAACUUUUUAUACAAUGUAAUAGCUAGUAUAUGGUUAACUAGUUGCUUACUGCUGAAUAGACAAAAAAGAAGAAAAAAACUCACCGAGUGGAUAGCUUUAGAGCUAAGUAAGUAUAGUACUAAUGAGAAAUUGGAAAAUGUAAAGCAAAUUAGCCACAAACCAAAGAAUUUAGACCAGUUAAGACCAGACAGACCAAGGAAUAUGACAACUUUGCAUGCUCUGAAGACAAAGUUGAAAAGUUGAGAUGGGAAGACCUUGGAAACCUUCAUCAAAGACCCAUAAUGAUCCCCAAAUUGGGGAGGUGCAAGCACAGUGCAAAAUAAUUAUCUAAUAACCAUGAGAUGAUACUCUUUAAAUUAGUUACAGUGUGUAUGUGAUGAUGUUGUAGUGCCAUAGUGAUACUAAGAAAUAUUUACUGUAUAGAUAUAACACAGCACUUGACAAAGGUGGGUGAGUUUGGAGGAGAUAUCCCCCUCACCACCAGCUCUGCAAUAAACAAAUACCUUCUCUUCUGA